CCGAGAAUUUCACUGAGAAUAAAAUGAGGAGAAUAGCAUCCCGGCUCGGCUCCGUCCCGUGCAUCUCUACCCACCAAUUGAUCUCUCUCUCAAACCCUCCACGCACAGUCCCACCACCACCCGCCGUCGCUUAGCCAUUCCACCGCCUGUCGCCGUCCUUGCCGUGGAAACCUGUUGGGUUACAUUCUUCGACUAACCGCCGUUUUCUGACCAUUUGCGGCGGUCCUGUUCGCCGUGUCUGAUGGUCUUCUCGUUUACAACAAAACCUCGUCAGAACGUCGUGCAUUAUCGGUGACUGGUCGCUGCCGCUGGUAAAUCUCAAACGUCCUCGUAAUUUUGCUGCGUUAUUCUCUUUCUCAGAUCCACCUUUGCUAUAGCGCCGCUAGUCGCCCACGACCGUCGCUAUAGCUCCCUUCUCUGACCAAUCCUCGCGCCACCAUCCAUUCACAGAACCGCCAAUCACCAGCAGCCUCCUACUCUAUUUGUGGGAAGAAUUAUUUUUCCAGCAAAUGUCUUACAAAGCUAGCAACAUCCACAAGAUAUUUGGAAUUGAGUCCAUAUCAACACUUCCACUCGCCAAUGCAUCUGUAGGAUGCAAGAUUUAUUUGAAGAAAAGGAAAACAGAUUGGCUUAAUUCCCUUUUGAAAAACAAUUUUUUUGGGUUCUUGUGUUUAUCAUCAAAACAAUAGGAAAAAUGAAAAGAAUGUGUUCUGUAUCGACUGUGGUAUUGCCAUCAGUACAUUGUUCGUGAGCCUGACUUGAAAAACCACGUUUGUUGCAAUAUUCAGGUCUUUCACAAAUCUAUUGAAGUGAAGAAACUCUCAUGCAAGUCAUGUAUUUAUGUUAUUUUUGUUGGGAUGGUGCCAAACUUUUUUUUGUAACACUUGUUACACUUCUUGUAUUUAGUUCUUUGUAAAUAACUUUCCAAAAUUUAGUUACUAGUUUCUUUAUAUAUAGUUUCUUUGUAUAAAUAUUACCAAUCUUGUUAGAUAUGAAAGUUCAUAUUUAUGUU